rnacentral:rRNA from 1 species
UAACACAUGCAAGUCGAGGGGUAACGGAAGUAGCUUGCUACUAGACGACGACCGGCGCACGGGUGAGUAACGCGUAUGUAAUCUGCCUUGUACAGAGGGAUAGCCCAGAGAAAUUUGGAUUAAUACCUCAUAGUAUUACUGAAUCGCAUGAUUCGGUAAUUAAAGCUCCGGCGGUACAAGAUGAACAUGCGUGACAUUAGCUAGUUGGUAAGGUAACGGCUUACCAAGGCCACGAUGUCUAGGGGUUCUGAGAGGAUGAUCCCCCACACUGGUACUGAGACACGGACCAGACUCCUACGGGAGGCAGCAGUGAGGAAUAUUGGUCAAUGGACGCAAGUCUGAACCAGCCAUCCCGCGUGAAGGAUGACUGCCCUAUGGGUUGUAAACUUCUUUUAUAUGCAAAUAAACCUACUUUCGUGAAAGUAGCUGAAGGUAGCAUAUGAAUAAACACCGGCUAACUCCGUGCCAGCAGCCGCGGUAAUACGGAGGGUGUAAGCGUUAUCCGGAUUUAUUGGGUUUAAAGGGUACGUAGGCGGUAAUAUAAGUCAGUGGUGAAAUCCUGCAGCUCAACUGUAGAACUGCCAUUGAAACUGUAUUACUUGAG